CGUCGGUUAGCUGCCUCUCCUCUACAGUAUUCAUCUUCUGCGCGGUGCUCGACACGCCGCCGGCCGAUUUCUCGACGACCUCCGGCCACCAGGCAAGCCUCUAGCCGUCGCCCCCUCCCGAGCUCCUGACGCUUCUGCUCUAUUGCCCACCGCUGGAAUCAGAGCAAUGGAUGACACGCCCAUGAAGUCGUCGGAGCUCCAAGAAGUGGCCGUCACUGGUGGGGAGAUCUUGGGCGACAUUGACGACCAAGUGAAGGUCUUGGGUGACGUUGACAAGCAGGUGAAGGUCUCAGAAGUUGUCGAUGGGCAAGUGCAGCACUUAGGUCAGGAAGGCAAUGAAGUGCACCUCUCAGGGGAUCUCGACGAGCAGAGGCGGGUGUGGGAUGCCAUCGAUGAGAAUAAGCAGACAUGGGGUACCGUUUACGAGCAGCGAAAAUUGGAGCCCCUUGAGGAGAAGGGGAAGAAGCAGCAGGAGAGGGGGCAUAAGAACAAAAGGAUGGACCUAGAGGUAAGGAGAAAGGAGUUCAAAAAGAGGAGGAAGAUAAUGAUAUCUGAAUAAGUUUACUUAUUGAUGAGCCGAUUAGAGAAGACUUCUGUUCAUGCUGCUCCUUCGCCAUAAUUGAAGUUGUAGAUUCAUGUCAUCUGCUGAUGAAUCGAAGCCAUGCCGCAAAAUAUUUGCUAUUAGAGCUGAACAGUAACAAGACUAGGUAGUUUAUUGUUUAGCAAGUCGUUAGCUUCAGAUUGUAUCAAGUUCAGUGCCAUGUAUCUUUGGCAGACUGAGUUUAACAUCAAUUUGCGACCACUAAGCCCGCAUAUAAUCAUGUAAAAUAGUAACCUCUCAUUUUGGGCACUCCUGACGUACUGAUUUCCGUAUGUGGAGUCUUCCAAGUUUAG